rnacentral:rRNA from 1 species
AACGAACGCUGGCGGCAUGCCUAACACAUGCAAGUCGAACGAGACCUUCGGGUCUAGUGGCGCACGGGUGCGUAACGCGUGGGAACCUGCCCUUGGGUUCGGAAUAACUCUCAGAAAGGGGUGCUAAUACCGGAUGAUGUCUUCGGACCAAAGAUUUAUCGCCUUUGGAUGGGCCCGCGUUGGAUUAGCUAGUUGGUAGGGUAAAGGCCUACCAAGGCGACGAUCCAUAGCUGGUCUGAGAGGAUGAUCAGCCACACUGGGACUGAGACACGGCCCAGACUCCUACGGGAGGCAGCAGUGGGGAAUAUUGGACAAUGGGCGAAAGCCUGAUCCAGCAAUGCCGCGUGAGUGAUGAAGGCCUUAGGGUUGUAAAGCUCUUUUACCCGGGAUGAUAAUGACAGUACCGGGAGAAUAAGCGCCGGCUAACUCCGUG